AUAGCGUAUAUUAAAGUUGUUGCAGUUAAAAAGCUCGUAGUUGAACUUCAGACCUGGCCGGGCGGUCGGCUUAUCGGCUUGUACUGUCUGGCUGGGGCUUAAUUCUUGGUGAGCUGGUGUGCCCUUUAUUGGGUGCGCCGGUGAACCAGGACCUUUACCUUGAGAAAAUUAGAGUGUUCAAAGCAGGCCUAUGCCCGAAUACAUUAGCAUGGAAUAAUAAAAUAGGACGUGCGGUUCUAUUUUGUUGGUUUCUAGAGUCGCCGUAAUGAUUAAUAGGGAUAGUUGGGGGCAUUGGUAUUGAGUCGCUAGAGGUGAAAUUCUUGGAUUGACUCAAGACCAACUAUUG
rnacentral:rRNA from 1 species